GUACACCUACAGGCAGCACAUAUACUAAAAUUGGAACGAUACAGGGAAGAUUAGCAUAGCUCCUGCACAAGGAUGACAUGUAAAUUCGUGUAACGUUCCAUAAAAUU